rnacentral:rRNA from 1 species
AGUGAACGCUGGCGGUAGGCCUAACACAUGCAAGUCGAACGGCAGCACAGUAAGAGCUUGCUCUUACGGGUGGCGAGUGGCGGACGGGUGAGGCAUACAUCGGAAUCUACUUUUUCGUGGGGGAUAACGUAGGGAAACUUACGAUAAUACCGCAUACGACCUACGGGUGAAAGCAGGGGAUCUUCGCACUUUGCCCGACUGAAUGAGCCGAUGUCGGAUUAGCUAGUUGGUGGGGUAAAGGCACACCAAGGCGACGAUCCGUAGCUGGUCUGAGAGGAUGAUCAGCCACACUGGAACUGAGACACGGUCCAGACUCCUACGGGAGGCAGCAGUAGGGAAUAUUGGGCAAUGGGCGCAAGCCUGAUCCAGCCAUGCCGCGUGGGUGAAGAAGGCCUUCGGGUUGUAAAGCUCUGUUGUUGGGAAAGAAAAGCAGCAGGUGAAUACCCCGCUGUUCUGACGGUACCCAAAGAGUAAGCACCGGCUAACUUCGUG